GACGUAGGAGGCGAGCGUUGUCCGGAUUUACUGGGCGUAAAGCGCGCGCGGGCGGCCCCGCAGGUCGGCAGUGAAAGCCCCCGGCUCAACCGGGCGGAGGCGGCCGAAACCGCGGGGCUGGAGGGCGAUAGAGGGCGGUGGAAUUCCCGGUGUAGUGGUGAAAUGCGUAGAGAUCGGGAGGAACACCCGCGGCGAAGGCGGCCGCCUGGGUCGGCCCUGACGCUGAGGCGCGAAGGCCGGGGGAGCGAACGGG
rnacentral:rRNA from 1 species